rnacentral:lncRNA from 1 species
GGGUGUUCUGUGUGUUUUGGUAACCGUAAUCCUUAGGAACUGUAGACAAGCUCUAGAAUCGUGAAUGCUGAUGGUUGUGAAAACUUAGGAGUCUUUAGGAACUGUAGUCAAGCUCUAGAAUCGUGAACGCCGAUGGUUGUGAAAGCUUAGGAGUCUUUCAAGGUGAUACUUACCUCGCAGAUUGGAUCCAUGAGGAUUCAUGCGUG